rnacentral:rRNA from 1 species
UACGUUCCCGGGCCUUGUACACACCGCCCGUCAAGCCAUGGGAGCUGGAAGUGCCUGAAGUGCGUAACCGCAAGGAGCGUCCUAGGGUAAAGUCGGUAACUGGGGCU